rnacentral:tRNA from 1 species
AAGUAUUAAUUCUAACAUUUUUGUUUUAAAAGGGUUUUGAAAACCUUUAAAGGGAGUAAUAUUUUCCCAACUUU